GCCGGGCCUGGUGGCGCAUGCCUGUAAUCCCAGCUACUCAGGAGGCUGAGGCAGAAGAAUCACUUGAGCCUGGGAGGCAGAGGCUGCAGUGAGCCGAGAUCAUGCCACUGCACUCCAGCCUGGGCUACAGAGCGAGAUUCUGUCUCAA
rnacentral:SRP_RNA from 1 species